rnacentral:lncRNA from 1 species
GAAUAUAUCCUCUAGGGACCCGGAGGCUCAACUACAUAACAUCUAUUGAAAAACGGGUAAAGUGCUUACGGUAUUUUUGGAUAUUAAGUUGUUUUUUUUUUAUCGACGUAAAUUGAGUUUUUAUUUGUUCAAAAAUUUGGAUAUUGAGCCUUCUUUCUAUGUGUGGAUUCGAAACUCAAAACCCUCAAUUUAAAAUCUUGGUGAUAAAACCGCCUGAGCACCAUAGGCCUAGUUGCUUAAUUUACUCAAGAAUUAAGUUUUAUACUAAAACAAUUCAUUCUCUAUUUCUCUUUUUGGUUCUAAAUCUAUCUGUUUGCUUUUAGAUCCUCAAACCCUGGGAUUGUUCUGUUCAUCUAUGUUAAACAGAUAUAGAAGCAAAACUUACCAUUAACCAAAUACAGUAAUAUAAACAAACAUAUAGAUCACCCCCCACGCACCAUCCACCACCCACCACCCACCACGCACCACCCACCACCCAUAGAUCAAACAGAUAUUGAAGCAGAACUUACCCCCUAAAAAAACCCUGCAAACUCUCUCUCUCUCCCCCCAUCGAUCUCAGGCGACCCUCUCCAUCUCCAUCUUGUCUUCGACGACUGCCCUCUUCGGCGGCAUUAAUCUUCUCUCUCCUUCAUAUCCCUCUGGUCACCUUUCACUCCCUAGUUGUUGAUGUUGUUGCUGCUGUUGAAGGCGUUGAGGCGCACGCGACGUGUUUUUGGCGGUGGAAGCGUGGUAGCUCCCAGUAACAGCUUGGUCCCCUACUAGUCCCGUAUCACUGAUUAGCUGAUCUAGCUUAAGGUUAACCCUAAUUUUUGCCUUACAAUUUAGCCCUAAAUUAAUUUUCCCUAAUGCAAUGUAAAUGAUUUGAUUUAACUUGUUCUUGUGCUUGAGUUGGGCUAAAAUUUUUGUUUGAUUUGAGGUGUAUUAAUUAAUGUAACUACAAAGUUGGGUUUGAUUAAUUAAUUUGGGCAAUUGCAACAUGUUUAAAUUUGAUAUAUUGCAGCAUAUUCAUAAUCUAAGGUUUGAUUUGUUAAAUAGCAUGAUAGAUUUGAUAAUCUGAUAUAAAUUUGGUUUUUACAUAAUUAUAUCUGUUUUAUGUUUGAGGAUUUGAUAAAUUGUAUCCGAUAAUGAUGAAAAUGAUGAACCUGAUAUAUGCAUUAUUCUUGAAGAAAUGUUGUUUAGAGCCACCACAUGUUUAGGUUUUUAGAACUUCACCUAGAAAAUCAAAUGUAAAGAUUUUUAGUUUGAUUAAUUAAUUUCGAGACAAUUUCAUUGUGCUGAAAAUUAUGUACUUAAAAGUUUUAAAUCAUUUAAAGAGGUUAUUUUUGGAAGCCAAAUCAAUUCAGUUUUAUUCUUUAUUUUAAAAAGAUGAAAAUUGAAAUUCAAAAGCCGGGAAACCAUUUUUAUAAACAAAAUCAAAUCAUGAAAAUACUCGGCCUUGAUUUACAAAGUCAACUAUCUUUCUUUGAGUUGAUUCCUUAUUUCAUACUGCUGAUUCUUCUAAGCCCUUAUCCCUUGAUUCAAGUAAUUAAGCUUUCAAAUUCAAAUCCCUUCCUUUCUAGUAUAUUCAUAACUUCCUUUGGAAUUCUGAAAUUGAGGAGUUUAUUUUCCGUCGUAGCAUCUUUAUUCUAUAUAAAUCAUUCUCGGGUAAAGCUUCAAGGGAACGAAUUGAGAAAUCAUUAAUAAUAACCUUAUUGAAAAACUCUUAGCAAUCUAAUUUUGCCUUGCUAUUAAUUUCUUAUUACUAUAAAUUCAUAGAUAUUGUAAUACUAUUUGUUCUUAAUCAAAAAUUUGUAUACAAGCCAACUGUGGUUUGUGAUUGAUGCAGUGGUGGAUACGUUAGUGCAAAGCAAGCUCUGAAGGUUGCAGUGAUGUGAGAGUUGUAGUGGUUCAAAAGGUUGCUGCUGUGCAACAAGGGGUAGUGGUGUCUAUCAUUAUCUGAGUUGUUUUGUACAUGGAGUAAAUUCUGUAAUUGUUUGAAUAUUUCAGUUAAUAAAAGAGUCUCCAAUACUGAUUAGUAGUGGACGUGAAUUAAGUCGUUAGAUUAGAGGUUAAGGGUCGAACCAUGUAAAAAUAUUGAAGUUAUUCAUUGUUUAUUAUGUUUGCAUUGUUUAAAUUUUGCACUUAAACACAAGUUAUAUUCAGCACUAAUAAAAACUAAGAAGUUA